UAAGGUCAAGUAGAAAAGGGCGCACGGUGAAUGCCUAGGCACUAACAGCCGAUGAAGGACGUGACGAACUACGAAAAGCUUCGGGGAGCGGUAAGUACGCAGUGAUCCGGAGAUGUCCGAAUGGGGGAACCCAAUGCAGCGAUGCAUUAUUGGUUGAUGAAUAGAUAGUCAAUCAAAGGAAGACGCAGUGAACUGAAACAUCUAAGUAGCUGCAGGAAGAGAAAGAAAAAUCGAUUUCCUUAGUAGCGGCGAGCGAAGAGGAAAGAGCCCAAACCAAGUGAUUUAUCAUUUGGGGUUGUAGGACUGCAAAGUGGUAGCGUAAGCGAUAGUUGAAUUAUCUGGGAAGGUAAGCCAGAGAGGGUGAGAGCCCCGUAAGCGAAAUUGCGAGCGCACCUAGCAGAAUCCUGAGUAGGCCGGGACACGAGGAAUCCCGGUUGAAGCCGCGAGGACCAUCUCGCAAGGCUAAAUACUAGUUAGUGACCGAUAGUGAACCAGUACCGUGAGGGAAAGGUGAAAAGAACCCCGGAAGGGGAGUGAAAGAGAACCUGAAACCGGGUGUCUACAAGUAGUCAAAGCACAUUAAAGUGCGAUGGCGUGCCUUUUGUAGAAUGAACCGGCGAGUUACGUUAUGGUGCAAGGUUAAGUCAGAAAAGACGGAGCCGGAGCGAAAGCGAGUCUGAAUAGGGCGAAAGAGUAUCAUGACGUAGACCCGAAACCAAGUGACCUACCCAUGACCAGGUUGAAGGCGUGGUAAAACACGCUGGAGGACCGAACCCACGUGAGUUAAAAAUCGCGGGGAUGAGUUGUGGGUAGCGGUGAAAUUCCAAACGAACUUGGAGAUAGCUGGUUCUCUCCGAAAUAGCUUUAGGGCUAGCCUCGUGGAGAGGAUAAUGGAGGUAGAGCUCUGUUUGGACUAGGGGCCCGUCAGGGGUUACUGAAUCCAGAUAAACUGCGAAUUCCAUAUAUCCAUACACGGGAGUCAGACUGCGAGUGAUAAGAUCCGUAGUCGAAAGGGAAACAGCCCAGAUCACCAGUUAAGGUCCCCAAAUCUAUGCUAAGUGGAAAAGGAUGUGGAGUUGCGUAGACAACUAGGACGUUGGCUCAGAAGCAGCCAUCAUUCAAAGAGUGCGUAAUAGCUCACUAGUCGAGUGGCGCUGCGCCGAAAAUUUACCGGGGCUAAGCAUAGUACCGAAACUGUGGAUGCAUCGAAAGAUGCGUGGUAGGAGAGCGUUCUAAGUGCGGUGAAGGUUAACCGAGAGGAUAAUUGGAGCGCUUAGAAGUGAGAAUGCCGGUAUGAGUAGCGAAAGACAGGUGAGAAUCCUGUCCGCCGAAAGACUAAGGUUUCCUGGGGCAGGCUCGUCCGCCCAGGGUAAGUCGGGACCUAAGGCAAGGCCGAGAGGCGUAGUCGAUGGAUAACAGGUAGAAAUUCCUGUACUGUGUUUAAUCGUUAUGAGCGAUGGAGGGACGCAGGAGGUGAAACACGCAUCGAGCUGGAUCGAUGUUCAAGCAACAAGUGCGGUUAAGAGUCAAAUGCUUCUAACCAGCAACACGAGUUGUGAUGAGUAGCGAAGUAAUAGUAGCGAAGGUGAUGUAAUCACACUGCCAAGAAAAGCUUCUAGCCAGAGAGAACACACCCGUACCGCAAACCGACACAGGUAGUCGAGUGGAGAACACUAAGGUGAGCGAGAGAACUCUCGUUAAGGAACUCGGCAAAAUGACCCCGUAACUUCGGAAGAAGGGGUGCUGGCCAUGAGAGUGGUUAGCCGCAGUGAAUAGGCCCAAACAACUGUUUAUCAAAAACACAGGUCUCUGCAAAAUCGUAAGAUGACAUUUAGAGGCUGACACCUGCGCGGUGCUGGAAGGUUAAGAGGAGAGCUUAGCGAAAGCGAAGGUUCGAAUUGAAGCCCCAGUAAACGGCGGCCGUAACUAUAACGGUCCUAAGGUAGCGAAAUUCCUUGUCGGGUAAGUUCCGACCUGCACGAAAGGUGUAAUGAUUUGGGCACUGUCUCAACGAGAGACUCGGUGAAAUUAUAAUA
rnacentral:rRNA from 1 species